UACAGAGGGGGGCAAGCGUUGUUCGGAAUUACUGGGCGUAAAGGGCGCGUAGGCGGCCUCUUAAGUCGAACGUGAAAUCCCCGGGCUCAACCCGGGAACUGCGUCCGAUACUGGGGGGCUUGAAUCCGGGAGAGGGAUGUGGAAUUCCAGGUGUAGCGGUGAAAAUGCGUAGAUAUCUGGAGGAACACCGGUGGCGAAGGCGGCAUCCUGGACCGGUAUUGACG
rnacentral:rRNA from 1 species